GGGUGCGAUCAUACCAGCACUAAUGCACCGGAUCCCAUUAGAACUCCGCAGUUAAGCGUGCUUGGGCGAGAGUAGUACUAAGCACCCAACUACUGGGAAGUCCUCGUGUUGCACCCC